rnacentral:rRNA from 1 species
CCGCUUCGGUGGGGGAUUAGUGGCGAACGGGUGAGUAACACGUGGGCAAUCUGCCCUGCACUCUGGGACAAGCCCUGGAAACGGGGUCUAAUACCGGAUGAUACCCGGGGGCGCAUGCCCUUGGGUUGAAAGCUCCGGCGGUGCAGGAUGAGCCCGCGGCCUAUCAGCUUGUUGGUGGGGUGAUGGCCUACCAAGGCGACGACGGGUAGCCGGCCUGAGAGGGCGACCGGCCACACUGGGACUGAGACACGGCCCAGACUCCUACGGGAGGCAGCAGUGGGGAAUAUUGCACAAUGGGCGAAAGCCUGAUGCAGCGACGCCGCGUGAGGGAUGACGGCCUUCGGGUUGUAAACCUCUUUCAGCAGGGAAGAAGCGAAAGUGACGGUACCUGCAGAAGAAGCGCCGGCUAACUACGUGCCAGCAGCCGCGGUAAUACGUAGGGCGCAAGCGUUGUCCGGAAUUAUUGGGCGUAAAGAGCUCGUAGGCGGCUUGUCACGUCGGUUGUGAAAGCCCGGGGCUUAACCCCGGGUCUGCAGUCGAUACGGGCAGGCUAGAGUGUGGUAGGGGAGAUCGGAAUUCCUGGUGUAGCGGUGAAAUGCGCAGAUAUCAGGAGGAACACCGGUGGCGAAGGCGGAUCUCUGGGCCAUUACUGACGCUGAGGAGCGAAAGCGUGGGGAGCGAACAGGAUUAGA